AAGUCGUAACAAGGUUUCCGUAGGUGAACCUGCGGAAGGAUCAUUAUCACGUUAUCCACGUUUAUCAACCAACCGCGCACUGUCUACCUUUGGGGGAAGGCGAGGAUGGAUAGCUCUUCGUGUGGUUCUCAGAGCUCCCAUUCGCUUGACUUGUUCUCUCGGGAUCAUUUCAAAGGCCCUCUUUCAAAGCGUAUCCAAUCACACUAACUAUUUACCACUUGAACCAAAUCAAUUUAUCUUUGUUUGAACUGAUUUGUUUCUUACUCUGUGCGCUUCAUUGUGCUCGGAGAAGAAAUCAUA
rnacentral:misc_RNA from 1 species